rnacentral:tRNA from 1 species
UAGUUAAACUCUACUAUUAAAGG